CAGCCGCCGCGGUAAUACGGAGGGGGCUAGCGUUGUUCGGAAUUACUGGGCGUAAAGCGCACGUAGGCGGCUUGGUAAGUUAGAGGUGAAAGCCCGGAGUUCAACUCCGGAAUUGCCUUUAAGACUGCCGAGCUAGUAGGUGAGAGAGGUAAGUGGAAUCCCGAGUGUAGAGGUGAAAUUCGUAGAUAUUCAGAAGAACACCAGUGGCGAAGGCGGCUUACUGGCUCAUUCUAGACGCUGAGGUGCGAAAGCGUGGGGAGCAAACAGGAUUAGAUACCCCCGUAGUCCCUGUCUCUUAUAC
rnacentral:rRNA from 1 species